rnacentral:lncRNA from 1 species
UGCUAUUGUAGACCUACAGGACACCCUGUGUUCUCCUAAUGGGUUGGAUGUAGAAACAUACUAGGAGUGUCUUCCCUGCUCUAGACUUUGGGUUGAUGCCCAGCUUCUGAAACACCUUGACAGAUAAGAGAGAGAGGAGAGAGUGGAUGGGAAAGAGAGAGAGAGAGAGACCGAGAGAGUGGAUGGGAAAGAGAGAGAGAGAGAGACCGAGAGAGUGGAUGGGAAAGAGAGAGAGAGAGAGACCGAGAGAGUGGAUGGGAAAGAGAGAGAGAGAGAGACCGAGAGGGAGAGAGUGGAUGGGAAAGAGAGAGAGAGAGAGACCGAGAGGGUAGAUGGGAAAGAGAGAGAGAGAGAGACCGAGAGGGUAGAUGGGAAAGAGAGAGAGAGAGAGACCGAGAGGGUAGAUGGGAAAGAGAGAGAGAGAGAGACCGAGAGGGUAGAUGGGAAAGAGAGAGAGAGAGAGAGAGACCGAGAGGGUAGAUGGGAAAGAGAGAGAGACCGAGAGGGUGGAUGGGAAAGAGAGAGAGAGAGAGACCGAGAGAGAGAGAGUGGAUGGGAAAGAGAGAGAGAGACCGAGAGGGAGAGAGUGGAUGGGAAAGAGAGAGAGAGAGAGAGAGACCGAGAGGGUAGAUGGGAAAGAGAGAGAGAGAGAGAGACCGAGAGGGUAGAUGGGAAAGAGAGAGAGAGAGAGAGAGAGAGAGAGACCGAGAGGGUGGAUGGGAAAGAGAGAGAGAGAGAGACCGAGAGAGUGGAUGGGAAAGAGAGAGAGAGAGAGAGACCGAGAGGGAGAGAGUGGAUGGGAAAGAGAGCGAGAGAGAGACCGAGAGAGUGGAUGGGAAAGAGAGAGAGAGAGAGACCGAGAGGGAGAGAGUGGAUGGGAAAGAGAGAGAGAGAGAGACCGAGAGGGUAGAUGGGAAAGAGAGAGAGAGAGAGAGAGAGAGACCGAGAGGGUAGAUGGGAAAGAGAGAGAGAGAGAGAGAGACCGAGAGGGAGAGAGUGGAUGGGAAAGAGAGAGAGAGAGAGAGACCGAGAGAGUGGAUGGGAAAGAGAGAGAGAGAGAGACCGAGAGGGUAGAUGGGAAAGAGAGAGAGAGAGAGAGAGACCGAGAGGGUAGAUGGGAAAGAGAGAGAGAGAGAGAGAGAGAGAGAACCGAGAGGGGUGGAUGGGAAAGAGAGAGAGAGAGAGACCGAGAGGGUGGAUGGGAAAGAGAGAGAGAGAGAGACCGAGAGGGUAGAUGGGAAAGAGAGAGAGAGAGAGACCGAGAGGGUAGAUGGGAAAGAGAGAGAGAGAGAGACCGAGAGGGUGGAUGGGAAAGAGAGAGAGAGAGACCGAGAGGGUAGAUGGGAAAGAGAGAGAGACCGAGAGGGUAGAUGGGAAAGAGAGAGAGAGACCGAGAGGGAGAGAGCGGAUGGGAAAGAGAGAGAGAGAGAGACCGAGAGGGAGAGAGUGGAUGGGAAAGAGAGAGAGAGACCGAGAGAGUGGAUGGGAAAGAGAGAGAGAGAGAGAGACCGAGAGAGUGGAUGGGAAAGAGAGAGAGAGAGAGACCGAGAGAGUGGAUGGGAAAGAGAGAGAGAGACCGAGAGGGAGAGAGUGGAUGGGAAAGAGAGAGAGAGACCGAGAGGGAGAGAGUGGAUGGGAAAGAGAGAGAGAGAGAGAGAGACCGAGAGGGUAGAUGGGAAAGAGAGAGAGAGAGAGAGACCGAGAGGGUAGAUGGGAAAGAGAGAGAGAGACCGAGAGACCGAGAGGGUGGAUGGGAAAGAGAGAGAGAGAGAGACCGAGAGAGUGGAUGGGAAAGAGAGAGAGAGAGAGAGACCGAGAGGGAGAGAGUGGAUGGGAAAGAGAGCGAGAGAGAGACCGAGAGAGUGGAUGGGAAAGAGAGAGAGAGAGAGACCGAGAGGGAGAGAGUGGAUGGGAAAGAGAGAGAGAGAGAGACCGAGAGGGUAGAUGGGAAAGAGAGAGAGAGAGAGAGAGACCGAGAGGGUAGAUGGGAAAGAGAGAGAGAGAGAGAGACCGAGAGGGAGAGAGUGGAUGGGAAAGAGAGAGAGAGACCGAGAGAGUGGAUGGGAAAGAGAGAGAGAGAGAGACCGAGAGGGUAGAUGGGAAAGAGAGAGAGAGAGAGAGACCGAGAGGGUAGAUGGGAAAGAGAGAGAGAGAGAGAGAGAGAGAGAGCCGAGAGGGUGGAUGGGAAAGAGAGAGAGAGAGAGACCGAGAGGGUAGAUGGGAAAGAGAGAGAGAGAGAGAGAGAGACCGAGAGAGUGGAUGGGAAAGAGAGAGAGAGAGAGACCGAGAGGGUAGAUGGGAAAGAGAGAGAGAGAGAGACCGAGAGGGUAGAUGGGAAAGAGAGAGAGAGAGAGACCGAGAGGGUAGAUGGGAAAGAGAGAGAGAGAGAGAGC